UACGAACCGUCCAAACGUUAUUCGGAAUCAUUGGGCUUAAAGGGUAUGUAGGCGGCGCUGUUAGUCGAGUGUGAAAGCCCCCGGCUCAACUGGGGGAGGGUCAUUCGAUACUGAUCGACUGGAAGGCAGGAGAGGGAAGCGGAAUUCCCGGUGUAGUGGUGAAAUGCGUAGAUAUCGGGAGGAACACCAGUGGCGAAGGCGGCUUUCUGGCCUGUUCUUGACGCUGAGGCGCGAAAGCCAGGGGAGCAAACGGGG
rnacentral:rRNA from 1 species